CGUUCCCGGGUCUUGUACACACCGCCCGUCACACCAUGGGAGCGGGUUUUACCAGAAGUAGGUAGCCUAACCGCAAGGAGGGCGCUUACCACGGUAGGAUUCGUGACUGGGGUGAAGUCGUAACAAAGGUACC
rnacentral:rRNA from 1 species